rnacentral:rRNA from 1 species
GACAGAGGGUGCAAGCGUUGUUCGGAAUCAUUGGGCGUAAAGGGCGCGUAGGCGGUUCGGUAAGUCAGAUGUGAAAGCCCAGGGCUCAACCUUGGAAGUGCAUCUGAAACUACUGAACUAGAGUAUCGGAGAGGGUGGUGGAAUCCCCAGUGUAGAGGUGAAAUUCGUAGAUAUUGGGAGGAACACCGGUGGCGAAGGCGACCGCCUGGACGAAUACUGACGCUGAGGCGCGAGAGCGUGGGGAGCAAACAGG